rnacentral:rRNA from 1 species
AACGUAGGUUCCGAGCGUUAUCCGGAUUUACUGGGCGUAAAGCGCGUUCAGGCGGUUUGGCAAGUCGGGCAUGAAAUCUCUCGGCUCAACCGGGAGAGGUUGUCCGAUACUGCUGGACUUGAGGGCAGUAGAGGGUGGUGGAAUUCCGGGUGUAGUGGUGAAAUGCGUAGAUAUCCGGAGGAACACCAGUGGCGGAAGCGGCCACCUGGACUGCACCUGACGCUGACACGCGAAAGCUAGGGGAGCGAACGGG